ACACAUUCUAGUAGCUUAACCCACAAAGC
rnacentral:tRNA from 1 species